rnacentral:lncRNA from 1 species
CUCUGUCUCUGUUCUGGCCAAGAUAGCUCCGGCGCCGCUGGUGUGGUAGGUUUCGCUCGAUUCCACCGAACCGACCCGGUCGCUUGGGAGAUUGGAUUAUGGACCAUUCGCAAUGGUUUUGCACGUAAGGACGUCAAACUUCAGAGUACGGUGACGAAAGGAAUGGUGGUCUCCCUUCUGCCUUUUUGUAUUCUGCAGGCAAGAGCAACUACAGGAGGCGAGCUGCUCUCAGCAUUAAUCAACGGGGGUACUCAAUGUUCAUUUUCUCUACUGUAGCUGAGUGGCCUCGCAUGCAUGUGCUCCGAUCUUAACUCAACAGCCAUCGGUGAGCCAUCUCUUUCGUCUUCUCUAGCUUCUCUUAUGACACCUAUUUCCAAUGUGAGUUUAGCUUUUGAUUUGUAAGUUCCACCAUAUGGAAGUCAACAUGCUAGAUGGGAUGAAUCUGAAACCCUUUCAUGUAGUAGGUUAGUUCAUAUCAUAUCCCCCACCUAAAAAAGUCUGAACUUUAUUUCAAUUGAACUAACACAUGCACCUGCCAUUCUGAAUCCUAAGUAGAUUGGUUCAACAUAUGCAAUUCGUAAAAUUCUUGCAGAUCCCAUUUAGAGUUGAUGGAUAUUUUUGUUCCUGCAGACCUAAUUUCAACUUGAGGAGGCUAUUUUAUUGCACAUGGCCAUCUGUUAAUGGUAAAUACUGUAGCACUUCAACGAAGUAUGGAAUUAUGGAAUUAUGCAGAGGGGAAGACCCUUGAUUACUAGAUCAAUN